CAGGGGGUCCCACCAUCUGUGGGGCAUAAGUAGCUGCAGACUGGGAGACCUGUGGACCCUCGACAUCGAGACGCUGACGUGGAACAAGCCGAGCCUGAGCGGGGUGGCCCCCCUGCCCCGCAGCCUCCACUCGGCCACCACCAUCGGCAACAAGAUGUCCGUGUUUGGGGGGUGGGUGCCCCUGG